rnacentral:misc_RNA from 1 species
GAUGAAGAACGCAGCGAAAUGCGAUAAGUAAUGUGAAUUGCAGAAUUCAGUGAAUCAUCGAAUCUUUGAACGCACAUUGCGCCCGCCAGUAUUCUGGCGGGCAUGCCUGUUCGAGCGUCAUUUCAACCCUCAGGCCCCCAGUGCCUGGCGUUGGGGAUCGGCGCGGCGCCCUCCGGGGCGCUGCCGGCCCCGAAAUUCGGUGGCGGUCUCGCUGUAGCCCUCCUCCGCGUAGUAGCACAACCUCGCGGCCUGGAGCUCGGCGGUGGCCAUGCCGUAAAACACCCCACUUCUGAAAGUUGACCUCGGAUCAGGUAGGAAUACCCGCUGAACUUAAGCAUAUCAAUAAGCGGAGGA